AUUGUUCGAGGCCAGCGCUGUGCCUGGGGCGCAGGGUGGGCGGGAGGCGGCGAGGGAGGCCAGAGUCCCGCAGGCAGAGGUUGGGUGGCCACUGCCGGGGAGGGCGGCAGGGGGAGCUGCCUUGGGGAGCCCGCGUCCCUCCCGCUCCCCCCGCGCUGCGCCUUCGCGGGCAGUGCGAGCGGGCUUCACCGGGCGCGGAGAGUGGCCGGGGGGUCCGAGGCUGGCGCUCGGGUUGUUUAAUCCCUUCCUGGGCCGCGGAUGGGCGGUGCUCGGGGAAAGGGUUCCCCUCCCGCUGGAUCCCGCCGUCCCUCGCCGGUGUGAACUGGGAAGGGCCUCCGGGGAGAGGUGCUGGGCCCCGGCAAGAAUCCCUCUUGGCAAAGGCAUCAAGGCAGAAGUGCCAUGUUCCGCUCACCAGCCAGCUUUCCUGCCGCCUGCUACCAGCUGCUGUUCCAUGAUACACAGAUUUCUGCCAAAGAACACUGAAGCCUGCCCUGAGGAAAAAUCAUGUGUGAGGCAUUCAUUUUAGCAAGGGGUAGUGCUCUUCUGAGAAGCAGCUAAAUCCUUACCUUUCGCCCUCGCAAGAAAGUAGAUACCUUCCAGUACUGGAAUAGGAGCCGGCAUUAACCCAAGUUCUUUCUUAAUUCCGAACUGUCUGAAGACGUGGUGUUAACACCUGCUGCUAGGAAACUGUAUUCUUCAUUAAAAUGUCAGUAAGUGGUUUGUUUUGAACCGUUCAGUGUAAAUAAACUUUGCUACAAUCCUCAAUUUUGAUAUGGAAAACCUUGAGUGGAGGUACAGUGGAGUCUACAAGAAUGGAGUUUACAACAAAGCUUGGUGUAAACAUCCAUUGAAAGAUAGAUAAAGGGUGUUUAAACAAUAAACCAAGCUUUUUCUGUCCUCAGAGUGUUUCUUGGAAAUAAAAGAUACUUUUUGGUAAAGCAUUUCUUUAGGUGGAUUCAGAUACGCUGAGAAUAUUUUUGCUGACGUUUCCCUGAUGAGAAUAAAGGCAAAGGAGAAUAUGCAUUUUCUUCCCACUGAAACCAUGAACAGUUUAUCAGGUGUCCAGCUGCAGAUGCAUGAUGACAAACAUUUUCAAAGAUCCAUUCAUAAUUGUUUAAAGAAGUUUCAGCUCUCUCACCAUGUACAUGUUUAGAUAGAAAAGUCCUUCAAAAGGCAAAGCCAAACUUGUAUAAUCUGAAGUGGAAUAUAAAAUGGAUUGUUUUCCUUUGCUUGCAGAGGCUCUUGUGUUAGGUUUUUAAAACAUGGCACAGGUACUAGCUGUGUUAUUCAUAACUAAAGGGGUUUAGAUGCCAGGGUGGUCUGAAAUAUUCUCGUAACUUGUUACACUCAUGCUCUGCUCAGCUUCUGUGGCCUAGUGAAUGAGAUUUUUGGAUCUGGGGAUUGGUGAUAAACCAUCGCACGUCACAGCACAGGCUUUGGCACAGUAGGAAGUGUAGGCAGCACCUCCUGUUCUGGAUAUGUUCAGAACUCUCACUGAAAUCAACGGGAGUCUGGGAAGCAAUGAACACAUUGCUAAGGCCUGAAUAGGGCUUGUAGGGAGAGAUGACAGGUUGCUCCACACAAUUGUUUUAAAGUUUCUGUUGUUGGUUUUAGUAGAGGCAAUAUUUUUCUCUGAGUAAUUCACACUCAUUUUCCAGCUAUUUUCAGGCAUUAAAUGUCAGCUUUUCAUAAGAAUGACAAAACUGACUUGGCCACUUGAUGCCAAAUAACAAAAUUUACUUAAAUUACAGUUAUUAUAUUUGCAGUUUAAAAAACCUUCUUUUGUUACGUCUACAAAGCUGAAAUAUUUGAAGUCGAGUUUUCUUUUUCUGGAGAGUGCAAAGCUGUCGUUUGGAUAAAGCCUGUGAACAGCAUCCAGCCAAAGAGAUGCACUGGGGGAAUUUUGGUUCAGGGAAACCAUACACUGUCUGACUGCAUUUUUAACCCUCUGGAGCCAGCUGCAUCCUUCAAAGGAAGGCUUAGGGAAUGAGAUCUGCAUCUGAUGCAAACUGCCCUAACUCCCUCACUGUCAGGUGAAAUGCAGUGUAUGCAAGUGGAAGAUUUGACUACAUGAAGCUGCCUUACCAUUACACAGCCCAUACACACGGUAAACAUCUCGUAUCUUUUCAUGCAAAGCCAUCAGACUAGAUUCUGGGAGCAACGAAUUCCUACUUACAUAACUUAGUUGGUGAUUUUUUAUAGAAGUAUUUUUCACCAUGUUAUUUUUUUCCUUUCAGUGAGCUCAUAGUACAAACAAUAACUUUCUAGGAAGUAAUUGUCUCUCAGUUUUUCAUCAGAACAAAUUUCUGCUUGCUAAAUCAACCUGAUUUACUAAUUAACAUCUGGAUCUUAUGUGCACACUAUGCACACACACAAUAAUUCCACAAUUAUAUUAUAUUAGCUAUUUGAGGGCUCAUCUAAUUUUACUCUAUACAUAAUCCUUGAAAAUGAGAUUUGCAUAAAAUAAUUUAAAAUAGACAGGGCAAACUAGAAGUAUAUAAUUAUGUGUCAAUCUGAAACAAAUACAUUUUCAGUUUUCAAUUUCCAUAGCUGAGUUCACCGGAACAUAAUUUAGCCUCUGAAUAUCUGAAUUAAUAAUAAAAUGACAGUAUUUCACUGUCAUAUAUGUACUUACAUGGAAUUUACAGGCAGGGUCUCCUUUGUUUUACUUACUGGAUUACCUAUGGGGCAAGUAAACCUUGGUAACACUGGAAAGAUCCUUCUACAGAAGCUGGGGGAAAGGAGGGAGGUGGAAAGCCCUCUCUACCCUAGUAUAUUAAACAACUAAAGAGACCUUUUCUCAUCAAGAUUUCUACCACUUCCAGUGUGGGAAACUUAGGCUUCUAACCUUGGUUCUCUAAAUUGUGCUGAAAUAUGAUGCUUGUAAUAACCUAAAGUCUACAACAUAAGUAGCUUUCUAACCUUCAAAGCAAACCUCUUCUUCAGACUCACUGUUUGUCUGACACCAGCCUAUGUUAUUAUUUUUAGAGAUUUUAACAAUUCUUUACAGGCAGUUCAGAGUUUCUGAGUUUGCAUGAUAGCGAUGCACGCAUAGUGAGGUAAAUACACUCCUUUGUUUUCUCUAUCAAUUUCCUACACAUGGCAGAUAUUCUGUAACCUACUAAUUCCUUUGUAGACUUUGAAUUGCCAGUAGGUAAGCACACCAUUCAGUGUCCAUACAUACUGGCAAAGCAUGUUGCCAAGUAAGAUGGUUUUAUCAUGUUUGCCAGUAUUGUUAGUUGUAUAAGGCCAACUCCAGGAGCCAAGUGAUUACACAGGUAACUUAGUUUGCAUAAAGAACAAUAAAUCGAGUCUUCUCCAUAACAAAGUAGAGCUGUUAAUCAUGUAAGGAUAACAGUAAUACAUCAGUUGAAGGAAAGCUCAAUCAGUUCCAGAAUCUGAUAGCACACACUCUGUCUGUUAAACAUAAUCAUGUCUGCUAUGUACUGAUCAAGAAGGUAGUGCUGAGGAAUUUUCUGAUUGGAUGACCAACAGUAUCUGAGAGGUUUGGUACUAGUUACUUAUUUUAAUACAGAUAAUGUUGCCAUAUAGUUUUGCAUUCAUUUGACAUUCCUGAAAGUUACAGUGCUAUGUUAAAGUUAAAUAUGUUGUUGGCAAUUUUCACUACUGCAUCAAGCUCUGUACUUGCUUUAAAAGGGAUCUUAAAGCAAAAAAAAAAAAGCCACCAAACCCUCAGUUUCAUGAUUCAAAGAUGAAUAUAACAGGCAGUAUUAUGAUGAUGACUUUAUGCUGGGAAUUAGAAGGACUCCAGCCAACAAAGGAAUGAGAUUCUAGAAGAGCUUUCCCAAGGUUACUAGGAGAAACAAAUUAAGCCAAUUAAUUUUGAUAUGGAGUUGACAAAUUAAUGAAGGGAAGUGGAUGACACGUAGACACUUGCAAUACCAGGAACCUAUAGGAUACCAGGAAGACCCUUUGAAUUAUAGAAAGCCAUCAAAAAUUCUAACACAAAGACGUUAUGAGGAGUGAAGGGAAGGAGCUGUGUCAGAGAAAGAAAGCCAUUGUGUCACCAGUUACAAAGACUCUGGACAGCACAGAUGCCUCUAAGCAACAGAUCCUGCCCCAAGUUAGGCAGCCCUCCAGGAUGCUCGGCAGAAAAUUAAAGCAACAUUAGGAAACUUAUUUCAAUGUUCCCCCUGAACAAACAGUGAAUUAUGAUGGGCUCAUACUUGAGAAAAAUGGCCAGAGUGAGUAAUUGAGGAGCAGUGCAUAAACUCUCAUACAGCUGCAUAAAGAAUUCACUGAAUAACUCUGAAUAAUAGGCCAGCACAUAAAAAUCAGACUGUUUCCAGAUAAAUUUCAAUAGGAAAAAAGCGGAAAAUAAAAGGCUAAAUUCUCCGAAUAAAUGCUUUACUGCAAAUACUUUUCCCAGCUCUAAUGAAGGGAGUUUGCUCUAGCAGCAGACAGAAUAGGGUUGUGAUGAUAGAUGAUAUCUUGGUCAUUUAAAGCUGCAAGGAUAUUCUCUUCAAUACCUGAUUUUUACCCACUGCUAAAUGAAAACUGUACCCUUAAGUCAUUUAUGAUUCUAUGAAAUGUGAAGUCUGGACAAAAGCUGGGUCAAGCAGACCUUCAGUCAGCACUCAGGGAGGAGAGGACCAGGCCAACAACUAAGGGGGGCAGCAGCACAGGGAUGGUGCAACCCCAACCUCCCUGCCCCCAUUGCUGCUGCAGCUGCAGCUCGGCCUAAGCUCUUAAGUGUAAUUCCAAUUUGACAGCUUGCAUGGGUGUGAAUACAUUUAAGUGAAAAAGAAACCCUGCCAGCCUUAGAUGAAUUAAACAACUGUGACACACAUUGGGCCAGAUUCUCUAAUGCACCACAACAAAUUUACAGUGCUGUGACUGUUAACUGGCGUCCCAGUUCAUUUUUAUUACCAUAGUUAACAAAGCUGUAUACAGAUGCAGUGAUUGCUGUAGAUGCUAAAAUGUUUAAGUACUUUUGUCCGAGAUUGCCUUUUGUGGUGGAUUUUCAUUUAACAUUUUAAAAUGGAUAAUCUGAAAUGAGGGCCAUGUGUGCAUUUGCAUGUCUAGCAUCAGUCUGCUCUUUAUCCUUAAGCAACUUUUCUGAUAUGUCUUGAUACAGUCAUAUAAAAUUUCAAGGCAGAGACUGUGUUCCGCUAACUAAUACCUGUUUGACUCUUAAUUAAUCUCUCAAAGAAUGCAUUAAUGGUAAACAUAAAAAACUGAAAACUAAAACCAGCGCAUACUUUUGCCUUUUCAUCCACUUGCCUAUAUAAAGGAAAAAAGGGGUUAAACCUUGAAAGCAAAUAACAAUUUGUAUAACGUUUCUGCAAAAGCAAAUGAAACAAGAAAUAUAUGUUUGUCACUUGCUUGCUGAAUCAAAUAUUUCAGAAGAAAGGUAAUAUGUUAGCUUUAUAUUUUGAAAUGUCACUAUUCAACAGGAAAUGUCAUCUUUUCAGCAGGAACAUGAAACUUAACAAUAUCAUAAUGAAGCUGCAGUGAACCUCUGGAUAUGAAUUUGACCUACCUGUGGUUCAUUUUUCCCUGCCUGCGAGGAGUUUUUUUAGCUUCAAGGAACAGAAAGCUAAUAUGAGCCAGGCUGGGAAUACAUAGGGACUCAGCACACGCAGCUCCACUGUUUCUUUGGCUGUGAGGGAACACUUGUGGUUCAAAUGUUACAGUAAAUAUCGAGAUCUGAAAUAAAUCUAUAAUUUAAGAUGAAAUGUUUGCUGUUAUGUAAGCUUCCUACCAGCGUUGAUCAGCUCUUUUCUGGCAGAAAUAAGAAGCAUUAAGAAAGUGGUAAGAGAGCAGCAGCUGUGUAAAAGAUGCCAUCUUUUCAUUCAGCAAGUUCUCAUCCUCUCGGUGAGCGACGAUGCUUAUUAAGUCUUUCUUUUGGAAUAGGAUUACCUAAAAUCUGGGUGGUAGAAUUAUGCAGCUUUUUUUCCAUGUCUGCACAUCCACAUUCUUCUUGGUUCCAGCAAUAGCAUGCUCUUUUUGACUAAGUGUAUCUCUGGGAGCCCAAAAAAGGAGUGGUCCUUGCUUUUUGGUUAAGUAGGCACUUACCAGUAUCAUUGCACAUGCAACACAUGUUCUGUCCGUGCAUAAAAGGAGCUUACACUAUGUUUAUUCCUCUGAAAAGACAGUCCCAUGCAAAGUAUGUUUUCUGUGUUACGUUUUGUCAGUAAACAUGUUUCGGCUGUUAAACAUCAAUAUGAUCAAACCAGGAGGAAUAGAGCUUUGUACUCCAGGUCAAAAUUUAGAUUACAAGGGCGAAGAAAAACACUUUAAUGAAUGCUUUUAAAAAGACCUCAAGUGAGGGUUGAGAGAUGAGGAGUAAUCAGAACAGAAGUGUCAUUUUAAGGGCAUUUGAGAACAGGAUCACUUUUAUACCACAUUUGUGUGAAAAGUGUAAGCCAAGAAUAGCAGCUUUGCCCUUCAUCUGCCUCUAAAUACAAACCGCUGCCCUUCCAGUUGCCCCUUUCUUUAGGCUGACAAAGGCAUUCUCAUUGCUGAACAGCAAAACAGUUUGAAAUAAUCUGGAUUAAAAUUAAACAUUAAUACUUUUUCUUUAACUUUGAAGUGGACACAUUCUUCUAUUUAGUUCAUUGCUUGGCGACACAGAUACUUAUACUGGCAGCAGGCAGGGAGCAACACAGGGACAAGAACAAGCACUUGGGAACAGGGCAAGGGCAGGGCUGCUGCUUUUGGCAGCAGCGCUGUACUGCUUGCAGAACUGCAAUGUUAAAGCAUCCCACCCCGGCUGUGUUAGGUUGUUUCUGCUCAUGCCAACAGAACCAAAGCAGACCAAGGUACACCGAGUGGCAGGCUUGGACAAGGCAAUCAAAAAAUGCACUGUUAUAGUAGCUGGAGCGUUCACUGGUAAUGAGGUCUUGAGUAGUAAACAGACAGUUUAAAAGCCAAUAGUGGUGCAAUCAGUAGCACAGCUUUUGUGAGGAGAUAUGGAGACCCAAUCCAGAUUUGUGCUGCAGCUGGUUUGCUGUCACAAAGCGGCUCUAAAGCUGGGGUAGCCAAUUAAUGCAGAGAACCAGCAUAGCAUGUCUCGUGCCAGUGCUCUCCCGGCAGCUGGUAUUUCUUUGCCAGGAAAGAGAAUGUAGUCACAUCAUCCGCGCUCUAUGACUCUCUUGACCAUCCCAGGGGCCCUUAUUUGUUGGUGCAAUCCUGAGUCUGUGUAUCUCAUUUAAAAUUGCCCUAAGAACAAAAUGGGAACGUAUGCAUACAGCUCCAGGCUGCUUCUGUUCAGAGCGAGCUGUACGCUGUUUGGCUGCACAACUGCUCUUGUCUCACAAGUAGGCUCACUAACAAAGAAACUAAGAAAAGUAAAUACUUUUCAGUAAAAGAAAAUUAUUCUCUUUGUUGUUUAUGGAUACAGGAAUGCUUGCUAAAUGAUAGGUUAAAACAUUCAUUGGAUGGAAAUGAGAAAUCUUUUGUGACUUGGAAUGUGCAAAGCACUUGAUAGCUAUCUGAUAAAGUUACAGUGCAUAGGAAGUUCACUUCCUAGGGCUCUCUGGGCAGGACAAGCCACAUAGGUUGUUAGGGAGACAGCACAUAAUUACCCAUAUUUUUCAGGAAGAUAAAGCAUCUUUCACAUGAUCAAAAAGUCACCCCUAUUAUGUGACAGUUGCCUUUUUGGCCAGGAGCACGGGAAUUGCACAACUGAUGGUUCCUUGUGCAGUCAGUGAUGGGAUGAGAACCAGUUCAGCUGAGCCAGUGCCCUGGCAGAAAGGCAUUGAUGAGAGGAACGCUGCUGGGGUGACACGAGGGGACGGUCACAGGACUGCAAGAGGGCUUGCCAAGGGACUCCCUGGACAGUGCAGUGGCCCACAGCCUGCUCGCACCACUACAGCUUCAGAAAAGGGGAGAAUGGGGAGAAGGCCUGAGGCUGGUGAACUCUUCCCAGUGCUUCUGCGGGUGACCAGCACGAGGGAGAAGUGGGAUUUCAUAACGGAAGAUGACCCGGCUGUCUUGAUUACCAUUGCGUGAUAUUAAGAGGAUAUUUCUUGGAGGCAGCUAAACACUGUGGCCUGUAAUCAUAAGGAUGCAGCAUGUGACCGAUUCCUAGAGUUGAGCCUCAUUCUUUACACUUGUACAAUCACAUUAUUGAACUGCCACAUUUGGCCAAAAGAAUUUACUGACAAGAACUGGUGAAGAGAUGUGUUCUGUAUGAGUUUACUCAUACUGAUGGUGAUUCUGGGUUCAUGAAAUACACAGAAAGUGCUCUUGCUGUAAUCAACAUGCUGCAGGGAACAAUGAAAUGAAAAAGUUCUGCUCAUCCUCUGUUCCAGCCUUAGAACAAAAUUCUGCACUCAGGAAGAAAAAUGUGCAGUUUCCUUUGUUUGUACAACUUUUAAUCAUAUCUGUGUACAUGAUAAGUGUUUGAACUUAUUCCAAACUUCUACCUCUUGAUUUCCUCAAAUCUUUAUUUGCAAUAAAGGCUAUUUUAAGUCUAUA